UACGUAGGGUGCAAGCGUUGUCCGGAAUUAUUGGGCGUAAAGAGCUCGUAGGCGGUCUGUCGCGUCUGCUGUGAAAACUCAGGGCUUAACCCUGAGCUUGCAGUGGGUACGGGCAGACUAGAGUGCGGUAGGGGAGACUGGAAUUCCUGGUGUAGCGGUGAAAUGCGCAGAUAUCAGGAGGAACACCGGUGGCGAAGGCGGGUCUCUGGGCCGUAACUGACGCUGAGGAGCGAAAGCAUGGGGGGCGAACAGG
rnacentral:rRNA from 1 species